rnacentral:rRNA from 1 species
ACGUAGGGCGCAAGCGUUAUCCGGAAUUAUUGGGCGUAAAGAGCUCGUAGGCGGUUUGUCGCGUCUGCCGUGAAAGUCCGGGGCUCAACUCCGGAUCUGCGGUGGGUACGGGCAGACUAGAGUGAUGUAGGGGAGACUGGAAUUCCUGGUGUAGCGGUGAAAUGCGCAGAUAUCAGGAGGAACACCGAUGGCGAAGGCAAUCCCCUGGGCCUGCACUGACGCUCAUGCACGAAAGCGUGGGGAGCAAACAGGA